rnacentral:antisense_RNA from 1 species
CGUUAUGGGCGGGCCGUGUGUGGGGGCCUCACGGCCCGCCGGUCCCGUUUCCGGUACGCCAACCCGCACGGUUCCGCUCUCCCAA